rnacentral:rRNA from 1 species
AAUUGGUGGUGUAGGGGUAAAAUCCGUAGAUAUCACCAAGAAUACCCAUUGCGAAGGCGAUCUGCUGGAACUCAACUGACGCUAAGGCGCGAAAGCGUGGGGAGCAAACAGGAUUAGAUACCCUGGUAGUCCACGCCCUAAACGAUGUACACUAGUUGUUGGGGUGCUAGUCAUCUCAGUAAUGCAGCUAACGCAUUAAGUGUACCGCCUGGGGAGUACGGUCGCAAGAUUAAAACUCAAAGGAAUAGACGGGGACCCGCACAAGCGGUGGAGCAUGUGGUUUAAUUCGAAGAUACGCGAAGAACCUUACCUGGGCUUGAUAUCCUAAGAACCUCUUAGAGAUAAGAGGGUGCUAGCUUGCUAGAACUUAGAGACAGGUGCUGCACGGCUGUCGUCAGCUCGUGUCGUGAGAUGUUGGGUUAAGUCCCGCAACGAGCGCAACCCACGUAUUUAGUUGCUAACGGUUCGGCCGAGCACUCUAAAUAGACUGCCUUCGUAAGGAGGAGGAAGGUGUGGACGACGUCAAGUCAUCAUGGCCCUUAUGCCCAGGGCGACACACGUGCUACAAUGGCAUAUACAAUGAGACGCAAUACCGCGAGGUGGAGCAAAUCUAUAAAAUAUGUCCCAGUUCGGAUUGUUCUCUGCAACUCGAGAGCAUGAAGCCGGAAUCGCUAGUAAUCGUAGAUCAGCCAUGCUACGGUGAAUACGUUCCCGGGUCUUGUACUCACCGCCCGUCACACCAUGGGAGUUGAUUUCACUCGAAGCCGGAAUACUAAACUAGUUACCGUCCACAGUGGAAUCAGCGACUGGGGUGAAGUCGUAACAAGGUAACCGUAGGAGAACCUGCGGUUGGAUCACCUCCUUU